UAAGCCGUUGAAGGUGAAUCGUAAGGUUUGCUGGAGGUAUCAGAAGUGCGAAUGCUGACAUGAGUAACGACAAAGGGGGUGAAAAACCUCCUCGCCGGAAGACCAAGGGUUCCUGUCCAACGUUAAUCGGGGCAGGGUGAGUCGACCCCUAAGGUGAGGCCGAAAGGCGUAAUCGAUGGGAAACGGGUUAAUAUUCCCGUACUUCUGACUAUUGCGAUGGGGGGACGGAGAAGGCUAGGUGGGCCAGGCGACGGUUGUCCUGGUUCAAGUGCGUAGGCUUGAGAGUUAGGUAAAUCCGGCUCUCUCUAAGGCUGAGACACGACGUCGAGCUACUACGGUAGUGAAGUCAUUGAUGCCAUGCUUCCAGGAAAAGCCUCUAAGCUUCAGAUAGUCAGGAAUCGUACCCCAAACCGACACAGGUGGUCGGGUAGAGAAUACCAAGGCGCUUGAGAGAACUCGGGUGAAGGAACUAGGCAAAAUGGUACCGUAACUUCGGGAGAAGGUACGCUCUUGAUGGUGAAGUCCCUCGCGGAUGGAGCUGACGAGAGUCGCAGAUACCAGGUGGCUGCAACUGUUUAUUAAAAACACAGCACUGUGCAAAAUCGCAAGAUGACGUAUACGGUGUGACGCCUGCCCGGUGCCGGA
rnacentral:rRNA from 1 species